UACAACAAAUAAUUUUCAAAUCCUAUCUUUCGAGCGGGGCAGUCAAGGCCUGAUUCUCCACGCUUCCAGGUUUGCGUUCGGAUCAUGUGGAUUUGAACUGUUUCUUCAAAGUUUGCCGUCGGAAUCAAAUCAUAUGGAAUCAAAUCUCUACUUCUAAUGUCUCAGUACGUAAGUCGUUCGUUCGCUUCGUUCGUUCCCACCGUCCCAUCGAUCACGCCACCACGCGAUCCCUGCCCCCACCGACUUUUUUCUUCCCACCGAAAACCGAGACCGGUUUUCUUUCAUGCAUCACAAAAACCAAGCCAAACGUUCCAUCCCCUUCCAUAUAAAACAACAAACCUUCCAUCCUUCCCUUCAAUUUACGACACCAAUCAAAUCAAAUCAUAUGGAAUCAUAUCGGAAAAUUCCAUCACGAGAAGCUUGCAUAAACAACAGUUUAAUCUAAUAUUUUUGCUCUUUCCAUAUACAACAAAUAAUUUUCAAAUCCUAUCUUUCGAGCGGGGCAGUCAAGGCCUGAUUCUCCACGCUUCCAGGUUUGCGUUCGGAUCAUGUGGAUUUGAACUGUUUCUUCAAAGUUUGCCGUCGGAUCAGGUGUGCGAGGCCUGUUUCUUCAAACUUUGCCCCCCGUGCCGGCACGGCUGCCAGCGAGACACGGGUGCCGGCGAGGCUUCCAGCGAUCCACGGGUGCCGGCGCGGCUGCGAGCGAGACACGGGUCCCGGCGCGGCUGCGAGCGAGACACAGGUUAGUAACCUGUACACAGUUCGCUUCUGGUUAAACUAAUUCAAAUCCUAUCUUUCGAGUGGGGCAGNNNNNNNNNNAUAGAUGCAACAUCUUUUUCUAUAAUAUGAAAAACGGGUUUUCUAUUUUACAAAAUAAAAUAGUUGUGUUAGUUUCACUUUUAUUUUUAUUAUCUAUGUUUCUUUCAUCAGAGAUAAAAAGUGACGGGUUCCGACAUACACACUGAUGUAACGAUGACUGACCUGACUGGAACACUACGAGAAGAGGUGCAUAUAGCUAAUCUUUGUAUGUAUGUUAUACAUGAUAAUACAAAAGGUGUAUUCUUUAUGUAUUUUUUUCAGAAUAUAGGAGACAUAGAUAUGGAAUUUGGAGAUGCACAAAAAAAAUCCAUCGACAAGGGUUCCGAAGCGACGUCACUAAAAUGGGGCUUCAUCGAAUUUUUUACAACAUAAUGACGUGGAAGCGGUGAUAUCUCAUAAAAAAUCAAAAAAGGAUGCAAAUUAAAUGUUACCGCGCAAGGUAUUUUUUUCAAUGUUGUUAUCGAUCUUUCCUUCGUCAUAUUGCCUAAUUCACUCGAUUUUGUAUCAUGCCAACAGACUAUGUUUGUACACAUUGUUAAUUUUCCAUUUUGUGAUCACUUUACAUUACAAAUGAAGUGAACUUGAAUUAUAAUGCACUUGUGACCAUGUUACAUUGUCUCUAUAUAUGGUCUCUACUGUGAAAUUUAGCAUGCAUUAUCUUUACAUAACUUUAGAAAAAUAUUUCAGAAGCCCGGGGCAACGCACGGGCAUUCUACUAGUACGGAGAGAAGUUUUGGGUUGUCGAAGUGCAGAUAGUGAAAUAAACAUGUACAUUUUUGGAUUUCAUCAAGUUUAGAUAAAGAACCACGAGGUUUUAGAUAUGUCCUAUGACAAAAGUUUCAUCAGAUUUGCAUAUGGUUGCAAGUUAAAAAGGGGACACGUAUCUAUGCAACACAAGCAUGGCUUCACCAACAUAGGCAUAAAUAUUUGCAUAUGUUGUCGCGCCCGUUCUCCCAUGCUCCUCAUUUUCUGAGGCCCUUCGUUAAUAGAAGCUCUUAUAUGAGUCACACAAAUUGCACUAAUGCAAUCUUUGAGAUGCAAAUAAGCCCUUCAAUCUACCUUAAUGAUAUCAUGCACAAGGUGGAAGUUUGGGUCUUGUGGUUUAAGGUAGUGAGAUGCCAUGUUGACCACACAUUGUAGAAUCUCAUGGAAUUUACAAUCGACUGUAUCCGCUGAAUGUUUGAAGCGGUUUUGAGUUCUCCUAUUUGAUUCGCAACCUCCCAAUGUCCACAAGAACAUAGCAAGAGACUCGUAAGUGCUAACAAAGCUUGUCUCUUUUAGACCAUAAUUACAUACCAACAAGUCAUGAAGAUCAAAGAACACACUUGCCGAAAUUCUCAAUAUUGUGUAGGUCUCUCCCAGUGUGGCAAUAGUCUCUUGAAGCCAUCCAAUUCCACUCAAAUGGAUUUCCUUGGCUCGUCGUUCAUCACCCAACUUUCACAAUACUUGCCAAAUAUGAUUGUCAUACCCGAACAAAGCAUGUCCAUAUUACGUUGUUGAUGCAUAAUCAAAUUCCUCAUUGUUUCAUAACUAUUGUCAUCAUCAUGACAACCCAUAAGUAUAGGGGAUCACAACAGUUUUCGAGGAUAGAGUAUUCAACCCAAAUUUGUUGAUUCGACACAAGAGGGCCAAAUAAUAUUUGGAAGUAUUAGAAGUUGAAUUGUCAAUUCAGUCAUACCUGGAGAACUAAAUAUCUAUAGCAAAGUGAUCAGUAGCACAAUAGUAUUAUAGUUUGAUAGUAGCAGUAGUAACGGUAACGGUAAUAGUAGCAAUUUUGUAGCAAUUGUAACAACAGCAACAGUAGUAGUAACGAAAGUAACUUAGCAAAAACCAAUAUGUGAAAGUAACAUCAAUGGACUGGUGUGGCGAUGUGGCGGGGGUCAAUUGAUCGAUCGACCUGACGUCGCCCUCGGCUUCCUUCCACGACUCAGGCGCCACACCAGUCUGGUGGCGUGGACGCGAGCCGUGCCUGGGAUGCGGCUUCAAAUAAGGGGGUUGCAGUUAUCAGAUAAGGAGGAGGCCUAGAGUGCACGACAGCUACACUUUUAUUUUCUUCAUUUUUCUUUUGAUUUGAGGAGCUUUACUUGGUUUGUAGUAGAAGGACCGUUUCGCAACUCCUUCCGGCGAGCCCGAUCCGGUGUGAGCGUUUGUACACGAAGUAGUUGAUCAUGCAAAAUACAGAAAGUAGAUGAACACAUAGACAUAAAGGGGAGCUUUUUUCUUUAUUAUAUAGUAAUUAUUGAAUUGUGUACAAUAAUUGCUCCUCAUAUGAAUAUAUAAGGGUCAAGUAUAAGUACACACUUAACAUAAAGAGUGGAAUAGGGAGGGCUAGGCGGGGCGCCCACGCCAUACCUCUAAUGGGCCUGGUUUCCCAACACUAUCUUUUAGGUACUUAGCCGUUUAUCCAUGUCUCAAAACUCCUAAAACCUCUGGUAAAAUAUAUAAAGAAAGAGUGUGUAGUAUACAUUGUUGUAUUGCACGAAUUGCCUCGUCAAAAAUCUCGUAUGAGAAACAUCAGAAAAACUAUCUCAAGAAAAAAAAAUAGUACAAUUUACUCAACCAUCAAGUUGAGUACUCGUUCAUCGGGAUCGAGAUUAUAACGAUGAGUUUGUGAAGUUUCUUUCCGUGAACCUUGCAUCUCCCUAAGUCUUAUCAUGUCGAUUCCACACACAUAUCUCUCGAAGGAUUAUGUAUGUAAUGAUUUAGUGAACAAAUUGGCAAGAUUUUCACAAGAGUCUGGCCCAUCCGGAAGCUCGUUGGCUUCCCAAGCUAGCCAGCUUCACGAGGGAGCCAGAAGCGUGGUAGCUCCGGCUGCAUGGGCUGGCAGCCCAGGAAAGCGGCCUGAAGCCCAUUUGAGUGGCCCAAAUCUGUGGGGAAGGCGGGAUGGGCUGGAAAGAGAGCUGCAUGCCAGAUUCCAAAGCUCUUAUAUUUUUUCUGUGUAAUUUUCUAUGAUUCUGGUUGUAUAUAGCAUUAUACAGAGAGCUGUUUUGGGUUGUCCAAGUGCAAAUAGUGAAAGAAACAUGUAUAUUUUUGAAUUUCAUCAAGUUUAGAUGAAGAAUAACAAGGUUUAAGAUAUGUCCUACGAGAAAAGCUUCAUCAAAUUAUCAUAUGUUUGCAAAUCAAAAAUGGGACACAUAUAUAUGCAACACAAGCAUGACUUCACCAAAACAUGCAUAAAUAUUUGCAUAUGUUGUCGCGCCUGUUCUCCCAAUGUACCUCAUUUUAUGAGGCCCUUAGGGAAUAGAAGCUUUUAGAUGAGUCCCAUCAAUUGCACCAAUGCAAUCUUUGAGAUGUGGAUAAGCCCUUCUAUUUGUCUUAAUGAUAUCAUGCACAAGGUGGAAGUUUGGGUCUUGUGGCUUAAGGUAGUGAGAUGCCACGUUGACCACACAAUGUAGAACGUCAUGGAAUUUGCGAUUGAGGGUAUCCGCUGAGUGUCGAGGGAGAGUUCCGUCAGCACGACGGCGUGGUGAAGAUGAUGAUGUUCUACCAUCGCAAGGCUUCGCCUAAGCACCGCUACAAUAUUAUCGAGGAGGACUAUGGUGGAGGGGGGCACCGCACACGGCUAAGAGAUCAAUGAUCUGUUGUUGUUGUCUCUAGGGUGCCCCCCUGCCCCGUAUAUGAAGGAGCAAGGGGGGAGGUGCGGCCGGCCAGGAGGAGGCGUGCCAGGAGGAGUCCUACUCCCACCGGGAGUAGGACUCCCUCCCUUCCUUGUUGGAUUAGGAGAAGGGGGGAAAGAGGAGGGAGAGAGAGGAAGGAAAGGGGGGCGCCGCCCCCCUCUCCUUGUCCUAUUCAGACUAGGGGGGAGGAGCAUGCAGCCCUGCCCUGGCCUCCUCUCCUCUUCUCCACUAAGGCCCACUAUGGCCCAUUAAGCCCCCGGGGGGUUCCCGUAACCCCUCGGCACUCCGGUAAAAUCCCGAUUUCACCCGGAACACUUCCAAUAUCUAAAUAUAGGCUUCCAAUAUAUCAAUCUUCAUGUCUCGACCAUUUCGAGACUCCUCGUCAUGUUUGUGAUCACAUCCGGGACUCCGAACAAUCUUAGGUACAUGAAAACUCAUGAACUCAUAAUAUAACCGUCAUUGAAACUUUAAGCGUGCGAGGCCUGUUUCUUCAAACUUUGCCCCCCGUGCCGGCGCGGCUGCCAGCGAGACACGGGUGCCGGCGAGGCUUCCAGCGAUCCACGGGUGCCGGCGCGGCUGCGAGCGAGACACGGGUCCCGGCGCGGCUGCGAGCGAGACACAGGUUAGUAACCUGUACACAGUUCGCUUCUGGUUAAACUAAUUCAAAUCCUAUCUUUCGAGUGGGGCAGUCAAGGCCUGAUUCUCCACGCUUCCAGGUUUGCAUUCGGAUCAUGUGGAUUUGAACUGUUUCUUCAAAGUUUGCCGUCGGAUCAGGUGUGCGAGGCCUGUUUCUUCAAACUUUGCCCCCCGUGCCGGCGCGGCUGCCAGCGAGACACGGGUGCCGGCGAGGCUUCCAGCGAUCCACGGGUGCCGGCGCGGCUGCGAGCGAGACACGGGUCCCGGCGCGGCUGCGAGCGAGACACAGGUUAGUAACCUGUACACAGUUCGCUUCUGGUUAAACUAAUGCGGGAAGAGACUGGGUUAACUAUACAACUGUUCGAUUGGUGGUGUGACAUAGCCCCAACUGUUCGUCCGAUUCGUACAUGAUCCUGACUGUUCUUGUGUGCUAGCGAGGCAUAUACCUGUUCAAAGUAUUAGAUUAAACUGCUUUAAGUAUACAACCAAUGCAUAGCAAGGCUUGACAUAUGUAUACAUUCAAACCUUUUGAAAACUUACUGCUUCUCGAGAGGUAUCCUAACCCCGGCUAUAAUUUUUCUGACGUUCUACCGAAGUAACCUGUACCAAGAACAUGGCUAAGGAGGAUAAUUUGAUAUAUACAUGAUUUCUAUUCAACAAGCAACGCUAUCAGAAUAAAUGCAGCACGAAUAUGAUUGUGCGGUUUCAGAUUAGCUCCAUAGUGUUCCUUUUUUUAAUUAUCAAGAGCUUGUUGAAAUAACUGUGGUACAUAAUAUAUGGAAUCCAGUAUGCACUUAUAUGCACUUAGUUGACUAUCUUUAGUUUCUAUAUAUACUGAUGGAACUAUCUUCAGUUUGUAUAUAUACUUGUCACAAAUCAGUACUUGGCACAAACCUAUCUCGGUGGCGUAUGAGAAACAAGAUUUGUGUCCGAGAAAAAAAUACUACAAAUGGAGGAUGAGAUGAUGCUGCCAGGCCAAAGCAACAUUUUCAUGUUGUCCCCUGACUCUAUGCUUUUCUGUGUGGUUUCAUCUACUCUCCUUUUUAUUUAUUUUUUUUGCUUUUCUUAAUCUCGACCAGCCUAGGAAGAAGAAAACUUGAACCAAAGUAGUUAAUCCAUUGCACAACUCAAUGCAUUUCAACUUGUUCUGUUGCUUCCACCAAAAUCAUGCAGAUAUAAAGAUAAUACAAGAAGGUUAGUUACCUUCCUUUGUGCAGGACAAG
rnacentral:lncRNA from 1 species